rnacentral:rRNA from 1 species
UGGGGAAUAUUGCACAAUGGGCGCAAGCCUGAUGCAGCCAUGCCGCGUGUAUGAAGAAGGCCUUCGGGUUGUAAAGUACUUUCAGUCGGGAGGAAGGUGUCAAGGUUAAUAACCUUGGCAAUUGACGUUACCGACAGAAGAAGCACCGGCUAACUCCGUGCCAGCAGCCGCGGUAAUACGGAGGGUGCAAGCGUUAAUCGGAAUUACUGGGCGUAAAGCGCACGCAGGCGGUUGAUUGAGUCAGAUGUGAAAUCCCCGGGCUUAACCCGGGAAUUGCAUCUGAUACUGGUCAGCUAGAGUCUUGUAGAGGGGGGUAGAAUUCCAUGUGUAGCGGUGAAAUGCGUAGAGAUGUGGAGGAAUACCGGUAGCGAAGGCGGCCCCCUGAACAAAGACUGACGCUCAGGUGCGAAAGCGUGGGGAGCAAACAGG